rnacentral:antisense_RNA from 1 species
CUUGAUCGACCCCAGCCACAGCGGCCGGCCCUCGGGACGCUCCUGACCGUAGGUGGCCAGCAGCGCGCUGGCCUC